GAUGUAGGGGGCCAGCGUUGUUCGGAAUUACUGGGUGUAAAGGGUUCGUAGGCGGUGUGGCAAGUCGGGAGUGAAAUCUCUGGGCUCAACCCAGAGUCUGCUUCCGAAACUGCUGUGCUUGAGUGUGGGAGAGGCGCGUGGAAUUGCAGGUGUAGCGGUGAAAUGCGUAGAUAUCUGCAGGAACACCCGUGGCGAAGGCGGCUCUCUGGGACGGUACUGACGCUGAGACGCGAAAGCGUGGGGAGCAAACAGG
rnacentral:rRNA from 1 species